rnacentral:sRNA from 1 species
CACACCAGGGUAGGUCUCAAGUCCAAGCAUGUCGAUUUCAUUGUCAAAAUGACCAAUGUUACAGACAAUGGCAUUGUUCUUCAUCUUCCUCAUGUGAUCAACCAUAAUAAUAUCUUUG